rnacentral:rRNA from 1 species
GAUGAACGCUGGCGGCGUGCCUAAUACAUGCAAGUCGAGCGAACAGACGAGGAGCUUGCUCCUCUGACGUUAGCGGCGGACGGGUGAGUAACACGUGGAUAACCUACCUAUAAGACUGGGAUAACUUCGGGAAACCGGAGCUAAUACCGGAUAAUAUAUUUAACCGCAUGGUUCAAUAGUGAAAGACGGUUUUGCUGUCACUUAUAGCUGGAUCCGCGCCGCAUUAGCUAGUUGGUAAGGUAACGGCAUACCAAGGCAACGAUGCGUAGCCGACCUGAGAGGGUGAUCGGCCACACUGGAACUGAGACACGGUCCAGACUCCUACGGGAGGCAGCAGUAGGGAAUCUUCCGCAAUGGGCGAAAGCUUGACGGAGCAACGCCGCGUGAGUGAUGAAGGUCUUCGGAUCGUAAAACUCUGUUAUUAGGGAAGAAAAAAUGUGUAAGUAACUAUGCACGUCUUGACGGUACCUAAUCAGAAAGCCACGGCUAACUACGUG